GGGCGGUUAACUCAGUUGAUAGAGUGCCAUCUUGACGUGGUGGAAGUCGUGGGUUUGAGUCCCCCACCGCCCA
rnacentral:tRNA from 1 species